rnacentral:tRNA from 2 species
GGCGAAGUAGCUCAGCUGGCUAGAGCAUUCGGUUCAUACCCGAAGUGUCGGCGGUUCAAGUCCGUCCUUCGCUACCA